rnacentral:tRNA from 1 species
ACACUCAUAGCAUAACUGGAUAAUGCAACGGCCUUCUAAGCCGUAGAUUGCAGGUUCGAGUCCU